AUCCAGCUGACUAGUCCCAAAUAGGACGAAACAUGCGUCAAACUGGAU
rnacentral:hammerhead_ribozyme from 1 species